AUGAAGCCAGGCUGUGGGGGUGCGGGGCCAGCUUUGGGGUCCUGGGGGUAUGGGCACAGUGGCUGCACAGGGACGCCUGUCAUGGGGAUCUCCUGGCCUGGUUGGGGGACAAGGACCAGCACUCAGGGCACCGCCUCCAUGGGGCGCCGGCCCUGCCCCUCUGCCGCCAGACCCUGCUUGGCCGAGUGCAGCAGGGCGCCCGGAGGUGGCCCCGGCUGGUUGGUCUGGGCUCAGCAGGGUGCCCGCUCCGGGUUUCAGAGACCUCCUGGGCCAGAUAGCACUGGCCUGGGGGGCGUCCCGCCCUGCCCCGGCCUAGCAGAGCUGCCCCCGAGGGGUCCUCUCACACUGACCCCCACACGGGGUCACCGUUCCCACACCCACCAGGGCUGGGCCUGUGGGCAGGCACACGAUUUUGCACACGGAGCACACCCCAUGUCGCUCGAGCGCCAGGCCUGGCCCGCGGGUUUCCUGAGAGACGUGCACGCGCACGGCACACGGCGCACGGUGCAGGUACAUCCGCGUACCCAGGCUUCACACGUGUCCCUGCGCUCUGGCUUCCGGGGUGACGGGCGGGCAGGUGUGUGAGACCACUGCAGGGGUUGGCAGUUCUCCAAAAGGGAUGGGGUAGAUGUGACCAGGAGGAGCCCCAGGGCUCUUCAGGAGGCGAAGGCAGCCAGACAAGAGCCAGAGAAAAGCUACUCCCAGCAGCUCCUGAAGCCAGCAAGUGGAGUCAGGGGGUGGGGUGCGAUGGAGGUGCGAGCGGAGCAACCUUGCAACAGAAUCACAAGGUUGUCAGUUCAGCAUAAAGACAUGUGUUUAGAAACGCCUGGGACCCCCUCAAGACCAAGUGCGGUUAACAAGAGGGCAUCCGAUGGUGGUCAGGCCUGCACCCCAAACACUCGAGAUGCGGUAACAGAGCUCUGGCGUCUGCAGGCGUCUUGCCUCACGGCCUUCUCCGUCGGUGUGCUUUUUUGUCCACACCAUGCCACAGAGCAUGUGGGAGGGAGCCCAGGCCUCCACGGUGAAAGCGCCGAUCCCAAUCACUAGGCCACCAGGGAACCCCCUUGUCCCACAGUUUAAUCAGACUGAGUUCCAAGCAUCCAGACUAAAGAAAGGAGCGUUUUGAUGGGAACCUUGGGGGACGGUGGACCUGGACAAGCAGCCGGGGCCAGGGACAGGGAGGCGGCCAGGGCCAGCACGACCCCCUCCUCCAGGAGCGCAGGGCAGCAGCACCUGCCUCUGGUCAGGUAUGGGCCUUCCCACGCUCCUUCCUGGGUCUGGAGCCUCAGGAGGGCAUAAACCCAAGCUCAGCGAGCUGAGGACAGCCUGUCCUGCUGCCCCGCAGAAGCGUCUCACAGGGACAGCCUGCAGAAAGUACAGCUCAGAUCAGACCGGCACGGUUCCCCACGAAGCCUGAGUCCACCGGGCACCCUGUGGUUCCAGGGCGGGGCACUUGGUGGACAGGCCGCGAGCAGGGGGCCUGAAGAGGGGAGGCGCUGGGGUCUGCUGCCUGCCCGCCACCGGCUGCCUGUGUCCCUGGGCCAGGCCCUCGUUUGGAAAAUCAUCUAGAAAGCUUUCAGCUUGCGGGCUCUGCUCAGAGACAUGUGGGCCGUGACUGUGGCCGCAGGGCGGGGAGCACUGGCUGCUGGCCGGGGGCAGGCCUGCUGAGCUGAGGGUUCUGCCACGGGUGGUAACAGAUCCACCGUCUGGCCUCAAACCUGGAAGUAUCAGGUGCCCUGGGAACCAGAUACAGCAGGAAAUGAGCAGAAACACCCAAACACAGGGUAACAGACACCCUGGCGAGGGCUGUAGGCGGCUUCCCGCAGAGUAUCACCCAGAGCUAGUGCCCCCACCGCCCGGGACACCUGUGACUUUCUUUAAAGUCAAGUCAAUCUCAGACACAUCUGCACACUUGCUGCAGAGCCUCCGGAGCACAGCCUUUGCCAUGAAAAGACUGCGACCCAGAAGGAAGAGGGCUUUACACAGCUGUGUGAGAAGAGGCAGAGCAUGCGAUGGUUGGAUGGCAUCACCAAUGCAGCGGACACGCAUCUGAGCGAACUCCAGGAGACAGUGAGGACAGGGCAGGCUGGCUGCAGUCCACGGUCACCAAGAACACACACACGGACGAAGGAGCCUCACGACGCGCCGUGUGGGGCCACACUGACUGGACACAGGGACGCUAACUGCUGUCUGUUGUUUCCAUUAUAUUAAAUACUGGUGUGUGUGUGUGUGCGUGCGUGUGUGUGUGUGUGUGUGUGUGCAGGCUGCUGGUGCUAAGGAACCUGCCUGUCAAUGCAGGAGAUGCCCGAGACAAGGGUUCAAUCCCUGGGUGGGGAAGAGCCCCUGGAGGAGGAAAAGGCAACCCACUCCAUGAUUCUUGCCUAGAGAACCCGAGGCAACCCACUCCAUGAUUCUUGCCUAGAGACCCCGCAGGACAGAGGAGCCUGGUGGGCUACAGUCCACAGGCUUGCAAGUCAGACAUGACUGAGCGACUCAGCAUGCGUGCACACGCGUGAGCGUGCACACAGCUUGGCACACACACGCAUGUCCUCACUCUGUCCACUGAAGGGGCCUAGGGGCAGUGAUGCCCCGGGACCAGGGAGACCACCAGCAUCAAGUCCUGGUUUCUGACACCAUCCUCCCGUGAGAGGACAGGACCCCUCGGAGAAAUGGCUGGUCUUGAACAGGGAAUAUGCAACAUGCACCGGGAGCACUUCCUAGGGCCAGAAAGGAGGAAACCGAGAACAACCAGGUGUGUCAAAGGGACACAGGCACCAACUGAAAGCUCUCUACCAAAAGCCAGAGCUGAAACAGUUUGAUCAAAAUAAAAAACACAGGAUCAGAGCGUAACUCAAAGAAUGAAGCAAACAAUCACGAGUGCCCACUGGCCUACCCAGAGAAACGGAGAGCGGAGAAAGCUCCUGCGCAGGAGGGCUCACGUGGACACUCUCCUGGCGGGAGGUGGGACCUAACUGCUCGCCUCCCUGAGUGAGGCUGUGCAGGGUAAGCACCUUCCGGGGGGCGCACCCGGGAGAAAAGGGGAGGGGGACUUUGCUGGGGAAACACGACCACGCCGUCAGCCAGACGAUAAACGACGGCAGAUCACGCUGGGAGUAAACACCCUUCAGAGGUCGUGAGAACGACACCUUGCCUCCGUGGUCAUCGAGCCUCCGGCAACCAUCAGAGCCGUGCUGAAGGACACGCCACAAGCUGCCUGGCAGUCCUCUUCAGGGCCAUCCCACCAAGGAAAGACUGAGAAACAGGCACGGCCCAGAGCAGCCCAAGGGCACAGGAGGCCAAAUGGACUGUGGCCCUUGGAUGGGAUCCUGACACAGAAGGGCACGAGGUGAAACCCAAGGCAAACCCAAACCAAGCGUGGCCCUCCGCUAACGAUGGUGCUUCAGCCCUGGCUCAGUGACUGACAAGCAGGCCACAGGGGCCAGGACACAGCCACACGGGAACUGGGCGUGGGGCCCGCGACAGCUCCUGGCCGCAUCCUCGCCACUGCCUAUGAGUCUGAAGCUAUUCUGAAAUGCUCAAGUUUAUUAAAAGACAAAAAGCCGCACAGGAUCCUGAAGCACAGCGGGGGCACGUAUCACGGGACACGGGCGAUGAUGAGGACUCAGCCCUGCCAGCGAGCGGUUUGGAGUCUGACCAGGGAGGACGGGGCAGCUGCCUGGCAAGAGGCCGAGGAGUGGAAACCAACAGCGUCUCCCGACAGGCACUGUCAGGGGAGGGCUGCCUGGAGGGGGGAGACCCCGGAGAGGUUCACCCUUGGGGUGGGGGUGGGGCGUCAAGAAGUAUCUGAAAAGGAUGGGCAAGGCUUUCUAGGAGGGUGCUGGAGGCAGCGGGUGUUUUAGGCCAGGACAUGGCUCAAUCCAAGACACAGAGACGGGAGAACUGGGGCAGGUCUGGGAACCGCAGAGCCCAGCGUAAGCACAGACAGGGCAGCAUCCCCCAGGGGCCCACGGACCACUGUCCUCCAGAGAGCCCCACACAAAGAGGAUCCCAGGCCACGCGGGGAUUCUGCACCCGCUCACCAGUUCCUGGGCCGUCACCAAGCUGCAGUGACUCCACAGGCUCUGAGAAGUCCUGCAAUAGAGAACCCCGUCUAGCCCUGUUCAGCUGGGACUUCCUAGAUGCACAAAACCGAGGGUCUUGUAUUUUUCAGCAGUCAAUUAACAAGUCUCACCCGACUUCCUCAGGGAAAUGCUGGCAGAUGGCUUGGGCAGAGAAGACAAAGGGGACGCCAGGAGGGCAGGGAGGUGUGCCCUAGGAGGCCUUGGGCAAGAAAUCAGAACGCUGUCCUGAGCAGCCUUGGGGCCCAGCCCGUGGGGGGCAACGCAGUCCCAGCUGUGCCCCAGGACAACACCCCCAGAGCAGGGCUGGGGGCGAGCCGGAGACGGGGACCCAGGAUGUUUCCAUGAGGGGUGACGGUGUGCGUUGAGACAACGGGGGUACUUCCCAGGUAGAAGCAACCAGACGGCUGAGUGGCUGAGCCAAAGUGGGGCCAGAGCCAAGGAGAGGGGACAGCAGAGGUGUGGGCCCAAGGCCGGGCCGCCGCCAGUCUGCACACACCCCCACCCGCCCCCCUCCCCUGCUCCUAAAGACCAAUCCCUUCGCGGUCUGUCCUUCAACUUCCUCGCUUGUGGGUCU
rnacentral:lncRNA from 1 species